ensembl:lncRNA
CUUUGGACAGGGAAUAGCUGCUGGAGGUGCUGUAAGCUGAGGAUACACCGGCCCUCUUUCUGCCCCUGCCGCCCCCAGUGCUUGGUAUGGCUGAGGCACCCUCACCCACUGCAAUCUUACAUAGCUGUUAACAUCAGCUGUGCUCUCCAGGGCACACGGUGCCUCUCAGCAGACGAUGGCUCAGCAGCAGGAACAUGGUGUGAGUGGGGACAGCGUGGGGACAGCAAAGGAACACGGAUGGUGCUCGGAGCCCAAAGCACACUGCCUGUGAGUGCAGCCAGCUUCCUCAUCUCCAGGAGAUUUAUAGUCCGGGCCCAGCCUUGCUGUCCCUCUCUUUAUCCAAUGGGUUUCCCAGCCAGGAUCUGAGGAGCUCAAGCAGUGCAGCCAAGGUCAGCUUCCAGGUCAGGGCAGAGCCGGCCGAGCCUCCAGCUGUGAUUUAUGUCCCACACGCUGCUUCCUCAUUUUCAGCACCUCGUUACAUCCUCAGGUCCCUGCAUGCAGCGUGGCUGGGGGAUGCCUGGCUGUCCCCGUGUGCUGAGGCUUUGGUGAGAAAGGAGAGGAGGUCCAGCUCUUUGCCUAUGCGGUAGCACAUCCUGAGCCUUCAGGCAAUUCAUUUUUGCCUCUGGGUGGGUUUCUUCGCAAAGGCACAUCCUUAGGAUGGGCUGCCCAACGUUGAGAUAUGCCUGACCACGCAGCCAGCCCCUUCACACCCAAAUCUGCUCCGAGCACAGCUGCUCCAGAGGCUUGCGUGGGAUCGCUGCUUAUUUUAGCUCAUCUCAACCUGCAGUGUGGCUGCACGGCCGAAAUCAGCUGCAGCAGCCGAGAUCCUGGAAGAGGUGCUACAUUACAGAAUGCUCUUCUAUAUCCAGCAUCCUUAACCCAAGGCAGUCUGGAAGGGCAGCGGGUUGGAGCAGAGCCGGCAGCCACCAUAAACCAUCCCGCAGUGAUUUACAGCCGCCCAGCCUCCCACAAGCACGGCAGCUGCUGCAAGCGAGGAGCUGGAGAGGAGGAAAAACAGCAAAGCCGACAGGAGGGGGGAGAAAAGCAGUGAGGAAAGGGCAAGAAAACGUCUGCUUGGAGGGCUUGUGCGGGGAUCUGCCUUGAUGCUCACCUGGGAUGCCCCUGCUGCUGCCAUGCCCUGAGCUGCCAUCCUCCGUGCCAUAUCCCACUCAUGGGGGUUGGACAUUGCCACCGACAGGGAAUGGUCCUGGCUCUGAGGGAUGGGCUCGUGCUGUGCCAUGCAGCAAUCCAUCCCAAAUCCAUCCACCAAGCUCUCGGUUUGCCUUGAUGUCACCUCCUUCACCAGCAUGGGCUGAGGAGCUCCCGCGGUGCCCAGACUGCACAGCACAAAAUCACAACCUAAGGCAAGAGAGAAGCAUUUAAACGGCAGCAGAAGAGGAUCUAUUUUUGUUUUUAAACUUGUAUAAGACCAGUGAUUUCUCCAGGCCAGAGCCCAAAUGAAAAGUAAAACCCUUUCCCUUGCCACAGUGCUGGAUGGCCACUCCAUGCUGCACAAGGGACGUAGCUUAGUGGGCAUGAUGGGGAUGGGUUGGAGUUAGACUAGAUGAUCUUAAUAGUCCCUUCCAACCUUAGUGAUGAUAUGAUUAAUCUUUCUUACUUACUAGCAUGAGAACCAGAAAAUCCAUCACUCUGUCCUGAGCAGAGGGAACAGAAAAAGGCCCAGAAAGCUGGCUAUCACGUAAGCAAGCAGGAUGACAUGGAGACCCUUCUUGCUUCCUGAGGCUUAUUUGGUGAUGCUUCCACGAAUUUCCUGGGCUUUCCCCAGAGGAAGGAAACUGUAGCAGUGGAGUUGGGGAACCACACACAUUACUGGUCCUGAAACGGUGUCUGCCAUGUCACCUUCCUGCUGGCCAUGGGAGAUGGGGAAGGUGACAGCAGCCUAGGAGACAGGGCCCCAGGCACCUCUACAAGCCAAGCAAAGCCCAUGACAAAAGCACUUUAAGAGUGACACUCAUUAGGGAAAAGGGUGAGGUGUCUUCGUUUGUGUGUGAUGUGAACUCCUAUUCAUGGCUCUUCAUUAAGACACAAAGGACCUGAGGACGGUUGGCAGUAUCCUAUCUGCUUGUGACCAUCCCUUGGAUGGGUCACCCAAGGGAAAAUAGGAAAAAAAGAAAAAAAAGCAAUUAAAACCCAGGCCCUGCCCUGUGUUCAGCCCCAGCUCAGGGAUGCUCUGCUGGGGUGGCCCAAGACAUGACCUGGGCCUCCUGCCCUCCUCCUGUUCACUCUCCAGUCCGGUCAAGGCCAACACCAAAGGAUUUUAAUUAAAACUUUUUUUUUUCCAGCCACAGUGGUGGGCAUUUUGUCUGUUAAUUGCAGAACAGACAGGCUCUCAGAGGAACGAAUGGUUGUCCAGUUGGCUGGCAUACCCUGCCCAAGCCAAGGGCUGGGAACACUAGCACCAAGCACAAGAACCGUCUUUCAGCAUUAAGGACAAACACAAUGCAAGAGGAGCACCGUCACCAUCAUCAUUAGGAGGCAAAUAGGAGAAGAACAUUUUCUUCUGCCUGGCAGGGGUGGAAACUGGGCUCAGCGCCUGCCGCUGCCAAGCUGGAAAGCUGAGGGACAAUCACCUCCUGUCCUCAUGCCUCCUGCACCUUCAUUUGCAAUGUGCUCGCCCCCAGCUGACAUUUUCUGGAAUAAGGACGGUCAGAUCUGCACCCUCUGUUCCAGCAGACAUCUUGGUGGGUCCUGAGCUGGAGGUUUUAAUGUCAACGGAGAGACACCACCACGAGAAUCCCCAAGAAAUACAUAGAUGUGGCACGGAAGGCCAUAGUUAAUGGGCAUGGUGGUGAUGGGUUGGCAGUCGGACUUGAUUUUAGUGGCCUUUUCCAACCUGAUAUUCUAAAUGUGCAUCUGCCUUUUGCAUGCCAGCAUUCAGGUGGUGACUCUUCUCUGCCACCUCCAGACAUCAAAGUCCUACUUUAUUGUAUGUUAUUGCUCCUCUAGCUCAAAGACCUCGUGUUCUAUCCCAACGAGCUUUGUAUCACUGCUGUCGCUCCUACCUCCCAGCUCACAGAAUUCUCUCUCUAAAACCAUCGGAGAUCAUGCAGCACUCCCCGAAGGAUUACUUCCCCAGCCCCUCAGUAUUAACCAGUGCCAGCACCACUCACUUGGUAGAUGCAGGAAAAUCCCAGCCAUUGCCUGCAUGCCCCGCAAGGGCGAUGGCGCGGACAUUGCACAAUCUCACCUGUAUGCUCAUUGGUUUGCUUGCUUGCAGUUAAAGCCUGAUUUUGCCUACAGGGUGUAGCACAGAAAACCAACAUGUUCUUCAAUUACACCACAAAAAUUUCUUCUUGUAGAUGAGAAGAUCCCUCCCCUCCAUUUAUAAACAUAGCAUAUGCUUCAGGAUACCCUUAGCCUUAUUUUGCCCUGGAAUCCUCACCAGCUUUCCCCUGGAAAACAACACAAGCAUACUUAUAAUUGAAGGAUGUUGACCCAAGGGUGAAAGCACGUUGGUAAGGAAACAAUUUUCACUUUCAAACACCAUGUCUUUGCUGUUUGGAAGCUCUUUAUUUCAUGUUCCCAUUCCCAGCCAAUUCACAUUUUUGCCUCAAUCCUUGCAGCCUCAGCCAGGCUCUGCUAUGCAGGCUUGUUGUUAGUGUGUCAUGGAGAGCAACACAUACCUAAGGGAAGGAGUCAAUGCAUGUUGAAGAUGGGCCUGGCCGAGUUCCCUUUCCCCCUCCCGCUCCAAACGUCCCCCAGCUUCGGAAAAGUUUGCCUCCAACUCUGAACUCGCUUGGCCCCACCGCUAUAAAUAGAUGGAACAAAACCUCCCAAGCCAAAUGCCCCGAGUGUUUAGAAAGCUUUGAUCCCGCGCUGCUUUUGAAUGCUUGAUCCCUUCCUGCUAAGGCAGCUUGUGACCAUAUUGCAGCUCAAAGCAGGGUGAAGGGGAGGGGGGUCUGUGCCAUGAGACCCCUGGUGAUGUCCCAUGCGGUGCCGAGGCACAGCCCUGGGGCUCUGCAUUCUGGUGGUCACCACGUCACUCCCUGUGUCUGGACAGAACAGACCAUGGCUUAAGCCUCCUUGGUGCCAGCUAUGGGUUUUCCCUUCUGUUUCCCUUUUCCUGUGGGUUAAAGGCACUUGCACCCCUCUCCUCCCCCUACCCUGCUGGGUGUGCCUGCCUCUUUUGCCUUGGCAUCACAUGCUUUGGCCAGGGACGGAAGUGGAAAGACACAAACAUCAGGAGAAUAAAAACAAAAACAACAACAAAAAAGGGCUGCUCUUGCAGUAUUUCCAACCCAUCAAGCCUGGGGUGGGAAUCCCCAGAGAAAGCCAGCUCUCACCAAACCCCAGGCAGAGAGGUUUGGGUAGCGGCCCCAAGACUUGACUCCUCCUCCUGAGAUCCCGAUGGGUACAGAGGAGCUCAGCACCCGCUGCUGCUCAGGCAUGUCACUCCUCAGCCCCCCACAUCCCUCCCCUACUCCAGGCCAGUGCACCCCGGCUCUCAUACGGCUCCAUGGGCGACCAGGACAGACAACACAGGACAGAUGUGCAGCACCAAAACAACCUUCCCACCGUGCUGCUUUAACAUUUCCUGGCAGCCCUACAGCAAACCAAGCUGCAUCAAGCUAAAUACGGGCUUCUUUGAUGCAAAUCCCAUUUGAAAGGAAACUCUCUAGUGUUUCAAACUUCCUUCCUUCUCACCUUGCUCUGAGCAAGGCUGCAGUGGUGCAAUCACAGUUCUGUGGAAAUGCAGGAGAGCUGGCAUGGGCUGGGGCUGGCAAUGGACCAGCCCCACAGCUGCGUCGCUGGGGAGCUGGAUUAGCUAAUACCACGUUGGGAAAGGGCUGAGGUCAGCCCCAUCACCCUCUGUCACUGACAUGGACAAGAGAGCUUGGAUCUUGCCCCAGAGGGGAACUACAGCUAAAGAGCAGCUUUCUGAGCAAAAUGAUGCAGAGCUCAUUGCAGAGAGGAGCAGUACUCACCUCUCCUCGCUCCCUGCACCUCGUGGUACCUAUAAUAGGGCUCAGCACUGCUGGGACACCUACAACCCUCACAGGGGACACUCAACCUGACCAGCAUCUGCACAGCCCACAGCCUGGGCUCACCAUGGGAACACCCAUCCUCAGCUCACCAAGGAUGCAGGGCUGGGCAGCUGAUCCACAUCCAUACUCGCUGGGGUGCUUUGCCCCAUUUGUCCUGCCCGCUCCUCACCAGGAACAACACUCACUUACCCAGGGAAAUAGCAUCCAGAAAUCAUCCUGGAGAGGCUGAAGGUGACCCCAUCACCUCCGCGCACCCCAGGGUGGCUGGCAGGAGGCUACCUUGGAGGCGGGCGCUGGCUUGGGGCUUUGUUUUUUGUCCUGUUUACCCUGCUGAGAGGAACAGAGGAGUUCAGUGUGCAGGAAUCUCGUGCCCUCAACCCAGCUCCCCCGCCACACGAAAGCUGCUGAGCAAACAGGAGGAUGCAGAGCCACUCGCGCCCUGCUGGCACCCGCUGCCUUUCGGUGCGGCCAGCCCCACUGCCAGCUCUUGCAUAAGUGGCUGUCUCAGCUCAGUGCUGUUCUCGGGGCUUUUUUCUUCUUUUCUUCUAAACCAAGAAGCAUCUCUCCCCACACCCCAGGAAUGACCCCCCUGUUGUGAGCUUAUUGGGGUUAUCCUCCCCUUCUCACGCUAAGUUCAGCUGGUCGUGCCCAUUAGCGAUGCUCAAACCUCAUGGUCCUUACACUCGACCCCACACCACAAGCCACCAUCACGCCACCCCAGCCUCCAUCAAGACCUAGCACGGAAGCUCGCCACCUUCUCCUGCUAGAAAAAGGAGAUGCUUUGGUCCAAGCGUGAGCUCCACAACAUCAGACCUCACUUGUCUCUGCCUUACACCCAAAGCACCAAAGGUGCAGUCACAAGAGGUUCAGCACAAUUGCCAACAAGCACCAGGGCAAACUGUUCCCAUAGGGAAACAGCUUCUGUGUCCCACAGGAGGCAUGGCCAAGAGGCUUGAGAUCACAGGAGCAUUGAGCAUCCCCUCCUCCUUAUUGGAUGCAUGGUCCAGGUUCCAUGGUUGCCUCCUGCAAGUCUCCAAAGCCAAGCACAGGAGCAUCUUUGCAAGGGCAUCUCGAUGCCAUUACCUUCAAGCAACACUCAUCAUCCUCCACCUUGCAGAAGGGUUCUUGCAUCCUAUUAUUUGUUUCUUUAAGCCCUGUGUAACAAUUUCUGAUUAGAAGCAAUAAAAAUAAUAAUCCAAAUGCCAGUCUUGUGGAUUUCAUUGUUACAGAAACCCCUGUGCCAACAGCCCUGCUUACCUGCACACUUCCUCAGUGGGGAUUUCCUCACCUCACAGCACGGGGAUUAGAUCAAAUUAACUCAUACUUGGAGCUGUGGCAGGAUCAGGCAAAUCCUGGCUUGGCUAGCUCUCUUUAAACUACAUCUUGCAAACAGAAGGCCUGGAAACAGUUUUGCUUUAAUUGCUUUUUAAAAUGCAGCCAGCAGAUGGUUUGGUAACCCGGAUUCAUGACUCUUUCCACAGCUCCAGGCUGCUGGCUUUAAAACCAAACCCAAGCACGACCCAGGUAGCGAGAGCCCCAUCCUGCCUGCUUCACCAAGGCACCCACAUGGUGUGUGGGACAGGACAGCACAAACAUAAGUUACAUGACACUGGGGCAGCCCAGAUGGGCAGGGACAUUCAAGCAUACCUGUCUCCGGUCCCAAGUGUUAUUUUUGGUUGAAAGCAAUGGGCUGGCUGCUCCCCAAGAGCACUUGCUGAGCAUAGGACAGCCAGAAAUAAGGGGCAAUUUGCAUGGGUACCAAAGCCUGUGGCCAGGGCCACUGUGUUCUGAAAUGCUUCAGCAAGCCUGGAGAGCCCGUGGGUUCAUAACAUGGUCUGGAGCACAGGGAACGUCCCUGGCCACGCAUCCUUUCAACACCUGGUCCCUGGGGCUGCUCCUCUGUACCCAUACCCAAGAGUAUCCCAGCUGCUCCCAAAAGGCUGUGGGUUAGGGGAGCAGGGUACUCUGCUCACCCUCACCUGCUAUGUGAAUGCCAGUAGUCCCUUCACCUCUCCCACUAGCCACAUUGAUGGGCCAGUGUACGGUGCGUCCCCGUGUCCAUCAAGCUGGGAACGGGGACCAACAGGGCUACAGAUUGACCUCCACGCUGCAGCAAAGUUUUCAUAGGUUCCUUAUGGCUCAGCUGGCCUAAGUGCCAUCCACAUCUCACUACAACACCUCCAUGCUCAGCAUCCCACGCCCAGAUACACAGCCAUGCCCCAAAACCCAAACCAACCGCAUCCCGGUGCCGAUGAAUUAAGGCUGCCCCGAGAACCUCACACACGUCUGGUGAAGCAGACUUGUUUUUCUGUUACAAAGUAAUUUGAAAUUCUUGGAAGGCAAUCAGGAAAGUACAAAGUAUUCCAGCUCAGGACAGCCUGGGACUCAUUCCUUAGAGGCACAAUGGUUGUUUACUCAAUCCCUCAUACAUUAAUAUCUAAAAAUUCAUGAGUUCAUUUGUAAACAAGAAGCACUGACUUCAGUGGGCUGCCUACUUAACAACAGUUGUCCAAGCCUGAAUGCUGAUUUUGUUAUCUUUCUUCUAAUCUCACUAUCAGAGGGUCAAGAUCUCGCAAAACAAAAUGAUGGGAAGUAUUUCAAGCCCAUUUAUUUCUGGUUUUGAAACGCAUCCCUCUGAAACCCAAGGCCAAAGGAAGACUACUUCGAAUCAACAUCGAGGAGCGCAGGCAGGGAGAAGAGCUGUUUGUGCCAGCCCUGUCCUCUGGCUCAAGAACAGAUGAGCAAGGAGCCGGCCACAGAUGCUCUCGUGCUGGAAGUCAGAAGACUCCUAACCACCACAAGGGACCGUCCCAAGGCAGGGGACAAAUGGGCACUAAGUAAUCCAAACUUAAAGUGCUGCCAAGACGUAGCACAGCUGCUUGCUGGAAGCAAAACAGCAGGCUGCCUGCGGCGAGCAGAGGUCUCACCUGCAUUUAUCAGACUCAAGGACCGACGCACGAGGAGGAGGGAGUUUCCUGAGCAGGAUGUUCAUGCGUCUUUAUCUCUGCUGCUGUCAAAGGGCAAUAGCUGAGAUCGCAGCCUGUCAGAAAGCCUCCCUGCAGGCUAUCUCCCGAGGACAUCAAGGGGCCCGGACAAUCACCUUCACUCUCUUGAUAAAGGUUUCCGUGAGCAAGUGAACGCCCAGGCAGGUUCCCAGGGAGCUGUCACCUUCCCAGUUAGAAAUCAUAGAACCACAGAAUGGUUUGGGUUGGAAGGGACUUCAAAGCCCACUCGGUCCCACCCCCUGCCAUGGGCUGGCUGCCCCCCCACCAAAUCAGACUGCCCAGGGCCCGUCUGUGGCCUUGGGCACCUCCAGGGAUGGGAAAUCCAAAUCCACAGUUUCUUUGGGCAUCAGCUUGCCUGGGGCUGGCUCAAGGCCCAGGUACAGCCUGAAGAUGCAAAGCCUGCUCUCCCUGUUGGGGUGAAUCCCUUUUUAGCUGUAACCUCCUGUCCCACCCUGCAGAAACAAGGCACACAAGUAGGGGUGACAGGAUGGUUACGCACUGACUACCAAAUGACUGUCCAAGAGCAUUUGGGCAAGCCCAAGUUUCAUCCAACAAAGAAACUGGGGAGGAAACACCCCUCAAUUCAAUCUCUGCCCCUUCCUACCCCCUGGAAGCCAGUAGGACAUGCCAUCCAAGAGUGCUCAUGAGUCUUCGAUCUCUACUUCUUUGAUCUCCACCUGGGAAAAGCCACUACACAUCAGUGCUGGUGGUGCCACAGCAAUGCAAGAGGUACCACCCAACUCUCUGUUCAUUUUGGUGAGCAGUUGCUUGUAUGAGCAUCACGUCCCUGUGGGACAUUUAAGUCUAAGUUUGCAUACAUACAACCAUUCCCACUGGAACAGAACAAAGCCAGGCUGUGUUUGGAGCCAGCCUCCCUGAGGAGGACAUGCAGAACUGCUGAGGCUUGGAGCUCAAUGAUCUUUAAGGUCCCUUCCAACUUGAGCCAUUCUAUGCUUCCGCACUGAUGCCACUCAGGCUGGCAAACAACUCAUUCUGCUGACAGAACCCAGCAGACCGCUUCAGGCACUGGUGAGAAGGGCUCCUUCUCCCUACCACGGGCUGGGAUACCUCCUCCCUGACCGCCUGCAGGGAUGGCAGUGAAGCAGAAUGCCUGCCCAUCCUGCCCGCCAGCCGGGCCGCCCCACAAAGCAGCUCCAUGUUUGUCUUGGAUGACCUCCUGCUGGACCAGGGCUUUCCACUGCGUGGCCCUCCUGAGCCGCCAGAGAGCGGAUUUCCUGCUGUUUGAUCUAUAUUUGCUGCUCGUUGCGCCGAGUGCCUCCUCGUUUCCUCCAUCAGGCCCAAAUCUUUCCAUCACCCCAGUCCAGGUCUUGCUGUGGAAAGAGGGCUGGAGGUCAGGGAGCUGCUCCAUGCCUCGCUGACCCUGGAGGGGCCACCUCCUGCCCACAGGGAUGGCACGCGGACACAGAGUGCCAUCUGCUGCUGCAGCCUCCGAGGGAGACGUGGGACAAACCAACAGGCAGCUCUGUAAACCUCGGGACAGGCUGCCAAGCCCACAGCCUGCCUGCCAACACAGCCUGGCCUCGCUGCCUGCUGGCACACUGCUGCUAACCACAGCUCCUGGGGAGCUGGCUGGCAGGGGAGGCCCUGGUGGCCAUGUCACACCUGCAGAUCACCUGGAGGGACACCCUCACAGCCCUCCGUGGUCCCUUCGCAGCCCACACCACAGGAAGAAGCUCAGAGCAUGACAGAAAUGGGCUGCCUUUCCUCAAACAGCACAGGGAAGCAGCUGCACAGAGAGGCCCGGUUGCAGGCCAGCACUCCUCACAAGCAGAUAGGGUGCAAAAUGGACACCUCGCCCUUCCCAGGCCGCCAGCCAGCAGCUGAUCUUGCUGCAGAGGGAGCACAAAGACAGACAUGAGUUAAUUAAAGGCCCAAACGGGUUCUGCACAACAUUUUGCAGGCUUGGGUGCAACCUCUGGGCCAUACAGGAGGUUGGUGGGUGCUCAUCUUGCUCCCGGAGCAGUGCCUGCUCUGCUUUCCUUUUCCUCACAAACCCUCCCAUUUCAUUUGGGCACGAAGAACCUCAAGGCAGGUUUCAAGAGCACGCCACAGGCAGCAAAGUUCGCUCCCUGUUAAUAAGACUCCCUUUUAGAGAUAAAGGCCUAUUGACACCAGAGACCGACGGGGGUUUAUAGCACUGGCAGCACUCCGUCCCCCAGCAGGGUUACGUGGCACAGGCAACGUCCAGGAGAUGUUUAUCACCUGCUGUGAGCUGACACUGACCUCUUCCCGGCAGCACAGCCUGCACGUUCCCUACCUCUGCUACAAGGGAAGGGCACUGCCAGCCUGAAGCUCAGCUCCUGGCUCCACAAAGGACCACUCAAAAACCAGACCCUACGUCUGAGAGUGUUGCUCAGAUGCCUCUUUGUCAUGCUUUUACCUCUAGAUCUCCGUGGCAGAGGACAGCGGGCCCCCACCGUGCCCAGCGACCACAUCCCUCAGUGCCACAUCUCCACGGUUCUGUAACACCUCCAGAGAUGGUGACUCCACCACCACCCUGGGCAGCGCGUGCCAAUGCCUCACCACUCUUUCUGAGAAGAAAUUUUUCCUCCUUCACCCAAAUUUCCCCUUUGGGAGAGACUCCUCCCCGACUUCUCAGACAUUCCUGCUGCAAAGCCUUCCCUGCUGGGGCGUUCCCCCCUGGGUGCAAAGCACAGCAUUUAAGGGCUGGACCCCUCCCCACCUCCACGACCCCACAUCCUUUCGCUGACCCCACCUCUAUCCCCAGAGUGCUGAGAGUGCACAGCCACUAUCUCUGUGUCGUGCUGAUCAGGAGAUGCCCGGCCAAGAGGAGUGCCCCACUGUGUCUUCUAGUUAUCUCACAGCUGCUGUAAAGUGCUGGCAGCUGAAAUGCUGAAUCAGGAGUGCUCAGCUGGAAGAAACACCUUUGGGUUUCAGCACCGGCACCAGCAUGGCCUCGUGCCAGUUUGAAGCCUUUGAUCAGGGAGCAGAGGACAACCCAGGUAAAAGUGGCUCCGUGCCCAUCUCUUCAGGAAUACCUUGACCCCAAACAUGCUGCAGGCAGACAAGGGGGAAGCCAAGGGGACCGGCAGCACAGCACCCAGCAACCCAGAACCAAUUUUCUAACGCCACCUGGCUUCUUCAUCACAGCACCCGUGGUGAGAUAUGGCAGCCGGCAGUAACGGCACCCAGCAGCCCCCACCUGCACACAGGGUGCCCAUAUUACUGCUGCUGCUGUUAUCCAGGGGCAGUCAGCAGAACUCCUCUGGAGCCCGCCCCAGCCACGAGCAGCUCCUGUUUCCCUGAGCUCAGCAGCCCUGCCUGAUAAAAGAUGCAACAGAGCAGCUCGGAGAGAAGGAAGAACUGCUCCAGCAUUGGCUCUCAUCCCAUCAGACAGGGCAUGCAGCCGCACAAAGUCCUGGGGUACAGCUCGUGGUGCCCUGUGUCCCCACAGGGGGACACGGGGUGGGGACAGAAGCUUCGUGGUGCCCAUUCCCAGGCACGUUCCCUGCCUCAGUUUCCCCAGCUGUCCCAAUUCACCUGGCAGGAUGGAUCUUUGAGGCACGGCAGGCGGGAUGCUGGCAGAAGCAGGGUGCCCCUGCUCACCCCCACACUCACCCUGCUGCCCUCACGAAGGAGCCAGAGCCAAAGAGCAUCCCUACAGGCCACCCGGCGCUGCCUGAGGCUCUGUGCCACCUGCCGAGGGGGGAUCGCGUUGUCCCCAUCCCCAAUGCUGCCAGCAGCACUCGCUAGGCUACAAUGCCACCUGCUGCCCGCUGCCGGCCAGGACACCCCGUCCCAUCCAAUCCCCCCAUGCUGAUUUGGAGUCAAAUCGAUGCCCUGAACUGCCUUGGGGCGAACCUGUGGCAAUCCCAGCGAUUCACCCACCGAGUGCCACCAGCCAUCUCCAGCUCCCCCCCCCUCCCCGGGUUUAAUCAUCUGGAAACACAACGAUGCUAUUUUUUAACUCGGAGCCAUACCAUGAGACAUUGAUGUAUUUUAACCUUUCAAGCACCUACAUAUUGUUUCUACAGCUUAAGAUAAAAGACGUUACCAAAGGGAGGAGAACGGCGGUAAUUAUCUGCAGUUCAGAGGUUUAACCUUUAGAGAAGGAAUUGGGUUUCCAGCCCUAUUUGUUAAAUGUUUUUAAGCUGUGCUGCACACCCGAUUAGAAGUGAGAGAGCCCAUUGAUGGCUAGCAUCCACAAGCACAUCCUGAGGGCUGAUGGUAGCCCCAAAGUUUGGGAGGGACUGGACCACAUAUGGUGACAUGGGAACAGAUUGAUGAGGCCCCUACAGCCAGACACCACAGGGAUGUGGGUUCCUAUUCCCAGCUGCUUACCUGGUGGCAGGGACUGUCCCCAAAGCCGGGCUGAAAGUCAAGGUGACAGGCUUCUGUGUGGAUCUAAAUGGCUUCUUACCCAUCCUGGUAGACUACUUCUGAAGGAAACAGCAUGGUGAUGUUACACCUGGCAUUAAAACGGUGGGGGGGGGGAGAAUGAGUACCAGCAGGAUGAUGCAAGAGGGGUAGGUGCACAGCAGGAAAGGAAGAACCCCACCAUGGUUCAUUCAGGGACCAACAAAGAGCAGACAACACAGAGAGCCAAAUGUCUCAUCCACGUGCUGCAGGGAUGAGGACUUCAGCCCACAUUCACUGCCCUUCAGAGCUCCCUUCAGGCUGUGUGUCCUGGCUGCUUGCCCUAUUCCCUGCCUUAUAGCAGAGCAGCGCUUCUUCGUCGCACUGACAGGCAAAGUCAGUCUCGUUGGCUGGCUGUAAUACAGCAGGCUGCUGCACCCUGAAGGCAUCGCUAGGUGCUGAUCCUCCCCUGACAGCCAUUCAAAUUCAUAUUUACCCAUAUGGAGUCGCCACUUGGCAUCACAGCCUCUUGAAUUGAUGAAUAUGGGUGGGGAGAAGGGAGGGGGAAAAAAAUCAUCUGUGCUGGUUCUGGAUGUGAUCCCUUCGGUGUUAAUUUCAGAAAAUACUGUAGUUAGCAGCCAGCAAUACCUGCAAGGGAAGCAUAUUUUAAGUGAGCACUGCAGGUGGGCCACGCAAAACAGAUUUCAGCUUCACCCUUGCACACAGUGACUUAGGUUCCCCUGGGGGGAGAACAGAAAAGUGCUGUGAGGUCGUGUGUCCCCUUCACCACCCACAAACCACAAGCUGGGGAAAGCAACCCAGUCCACAACUGGGGCUGGGAUUGACCUUAG